rnacentral:misc_RNA from 1 species
CGAACGCCUCUCGCUUGGUGAGCUUGCCGAGAAGCUUCCCGAUCAACUCUCCGGCGGCCAGAUGCAACGGGUUGCCCUCGCAAGAGCGCUGGUGAUGCGGCCCGCGGUGAUCCUGGCGGACGAGCCAACCGGUCAACUUGACGGGAAGACAGGGCAAGAAUUGAUCGACGCGUUGCUCGCAGCGCUUGACGGAACAACGACGGCGCUCGUCGUCGCCACGCACGAUCCUUCCGUCGCUGAGCGCCUUAAGCGACGUUGGACAAUGAAUGCAGGCCGCUUGAUGAUUUAUGCGUCGGAGGAAGCUGCGUGAUUGUAUCGUGGAUCAAAGGCAUCGUCGCGCAUAGGUCGUGGCAGCUGUUUCUCAGUGCAGCCGGCAUCGCCAUCGCCACUGCGUUGAUCGGCGUAAUUGGGGUCUUCGCCACGUCAAGCUCGCAGACCAUGACGCGCAGAGCGGUGG